rnacentral:rRNA from 1 species
UACGGGGGGGGCAAGCGUUGUUCGGAAUUACUGGGCGUAAAGGGUUUGUAGGUGGCCCGCUAAGUCACGCGUGAAAUCCCUCAGCUUAACUGGGGAACUGCGUGUGAGACUGGCAGGCUCGAGGGCAGGAGAGGAACGCGGAAUUCCAGGUGUAGCGGUGAAAUGCGUAGAUAUCUGGAGGAACACCGGUGGCGAAGGCGGCGUUCUGGACUGUCUCUGACACUGAAGAACGAAAGCCAGGGGAGCAAACGGG